GGAGAGGUGCCUGAGAGGCCUAUAGGAGCACACUGCUAAUGUGUUGUCUGGAUAAAACCGGACCGCGGGUUCGAAUCCCGCCUUCUCCGCCU
rnacentral:tRNA from 2 species